rnacentral:lncRNA from 1 species
AGGUCUUUUCCCACAGGGAGCAUUGUGAAACAUCACUGGGCUCAGCCACCAGGUUAUGUGACUCUUCUGCCUGUGCCCUGCUUCCAGAAAAUAUUGUGACAUUCCUCAUACAGCAUCCAGGUGAUGUGACUCUUCUGCUCAUUUUCUACUUACAGGAGACAUGCCCAAAAAAGGGAUUGUGGCAUAUCUCUGAGCCCAGCACCCAAAUGUUGUGACUCUCCUGCCUGAGCUGUGCCUAGAGAAAAUAUUAUAAUAUGUCACCGGACCCUGCAUGCAAGUGAUCCAAUUCUCCAGUCUGGGCCUUGCCCAUAGAGGAGAUUGAGACAUAUUCCAGGUGGAUGGUGACUCUAAGACCAGGAUUCAACACACCUAGAAGGCUUUGACUCUGAUACCAGUCACAGAAGGCUCUGUGACUCUUCUAUUUUCUCUAGGUCAUGCAAAUGGAGGCGGAUUUUGACAUAUCAUAAAGCCAACAUAAUACACAGUCUGCAGGUGGAAUUGGGACUCUCAUGCAUGGAUCCAGUUCAUCAUUGAUACUGUGACUCAUGUACUUGGAUGCAACUCACAGGAGGUGUUGACGCUUUUUACCUGAAGCUGGGACAUGUGUGGAAUUGUGAAUCCUAGCCCUAGAUCUUCCCACAGGUCAUGCAAAUGGAGGGGGAUUGUUACAUAUCAUAGGGCCAACACAAAAAUAAUGUAAAACUCCUGCCUGAGCCAUGCCCAUAGAAGGCAUUGUGACAUAUCACCCGUCACAGCACUCAGGUGGGAUUUUGACAUAUAACUGCACCCAGCACACAGGUGAAGUAUCUCGUAUGCUCAUCCUGCCAAAAGUUAUGAGUGUCACCCUCACACAUGGACAGAGACCUCUGGUUAGGUCUUGAAUCUUGUACAUGGACACAGUCCGCAGUUGGAAUGUCAUAUGUAGAUCCAGCCACAGGUGUGAUGUUGACCUAUUUAUAAAGUUAGCUCACAGGCACAUUGAUAACUCUCAUACCUGGAUCCAGCCAAUAAAAGAUAUGUUGACUAUUAUAGCUAGGCUUGAGGAAA